ensembl:lncRNA
GUUACAGUGUCUUAAUGAUUGUAACUGAAGGAGCAUCAGUGAAAGUUCAUCCAGGAGGAAACACAACACUUCCCUGUAGCAUUAAAAAUGAUACAGAGAUUAACUGGAUCAUUACGAAUGGAAACCAAACAUUUUUAUGCAGGUCGGAUAACAGCACUCAUUUCUCCCAUAAACACUCACUCUCUGCUUCUGAUGAACAUCUCUGACACUGAUCUCAUGCUCUACUGCUGCAUGGACUUCACACUUGAACAAUCUCACUGCACAAAGCUGGACUAUCAAGGUAUAUGCUUCAGACAAUUUUUAUGUACAUUAAAAUAUAUUAAUUUUA